GCUGCCUCGACACUCCCGCCCCCGCCUUUGACCCCCGCACCGACCGGCCCGCACCUCAGAAACGGCCUCUCGGGGCUACCCUCAGAGCGGACAGCAGAAGCUCGCAUGGUCCCCUCCUCUUUCCUUCCCCCUCCCACCGCAGGCCCUAUUCUGGACCGGAAGUCGCAGUUUCCCCCUCCAGCACCUAAGCGCGGCCAUGUUGUCGUACGGAACCCAGGCCCCCCGCGGCCGGAAGUGACGAUGGCCGACCCCCGAACGCCUCCAGGGCCGGCCGCAUAGUGUGAGGCUUGCCUUCCGCCUGACCUCUAGGGGCGGGCUUAUUCCCGCCGCGCGCCCCUCAGCAACUGGGGCCGCCAUUUUGUCGUACGGAUAUGACUCGUCCCGACUCCAGAGCGCCGCCAGCGGAACCCUCGCCACUCAGCGCUCCUGAGACUCCGCCAAUCGGACACUUCCUGCGGCGGGCCAACCGCCAGCGAGUCGCGUGCGGGGCGGGGCGUGCCGAGCCACCUUCCAGGUAGGGGCGGGGCAACGGACGGGCAGCGGGGGAAUGGGCCCGCCGAGGCGCGCCGGGUGCACCGAGGCCGAGACUCCCAUGAGGGAAAUAGGACCUUUUCCUUCCGAUGGGCGACGGUCAGGCCCUCCCGACCUGCUUUCCCACCCACCAGGUGCCUGCUCCCACGGGUUCUUCGACGGCGCCCACCCGCCCCUUCCGCGGCUCCCAGUCCUGAAAGCAACACACGUGCACGCCAACGGUCACCGCAGUGGGUUGUUGUUGCUACUGUUGUUGAUUUGCUUUUCAAGCUUCACCACAGAACUAAGGACCAACCAAGUACGCGGACGUAGGGGUUCUCCGUCCAUUUCCAAAGGGGUCUCUGAGGCGCAGGCGGUGAUGGCCCGGCAGCCGCGCCUGGGGACCGGCGGCCCGGGGCGCUCUGAGGAGGCUCGGUGCGAGUCGCCGCUGGACGCCGGAAAACGGAGGAGCCUCGGAAAACACCUCGGGGCUCGGGCCCGUCCCCUUCCCUCCGGGGGAGCUGAGGAAAGAAGGAAGAGAGAAGAAGCCGACCUGGAUGCCCGCCUCACCGCACCCACCUCGCCGUUUGAGGGAGGCUGGAGGGACUCGGAGGCAAGGAGGGUCCGAAGGUGAGGUCCUGGGGCAGCGGAAAGGCCCGCGCGGCUCCCGGCGGGGCGAGGCCCGCCUCCAGCACCGCCCCGCACUCCCGGGAGGCUGAAGACCACUGGACUGCGGAAGAGUAGCAGGAUUGUCAGCCUGCACUGAGGUGUACUGGAGGCUUACCAUUCAAGUGUGGACGAACAGGGCCACAUGCUAACCAGUCAAGCUCAGGGAAGACCUGCAUGGCGGUCUUGCAAACUCAAAGACCUAAAGUAACCACAAAAGAUGGUCUAAAAUUAAACUUUAACUAAAAGCAGUUAUGGUGGGUAGUUACUUCCUAGGCUGGUGUCCUCCCUGACAAGGUCAAUCUUUACCUUAACUGAGCUUAUUGUCUUUUUGCAUCUAUGAUAACGUAUUGAAAUGUCAGGGUAACGUCUAACUUCCCUUUUUCCCAGACCCUGAGGGCACAACCAAAUUCCUUUGCUUUCUCCCACCUCUCUAAUCUAUCACCAAUGGAUUUCAUGUAACCCUCCUAUGUCUCCUCCGUUGAUUGCAAUGUAUAAAAAUAGAUGAAAAACCACCAUUCUCUGGAGCACUAUCCCAAUCCAUUGAGAUUCUGCUUCCUGGCAAUUGUUGACAGUUUGGCUCAAACUCACAAAAAUUCUUUACAGGUUUGAAUGUUUUUACGUUAACACUAAUUAAAUGUUUAAAUUUUCAUUUAAGCACAGCUUUGGCUGUGUUCCACAAUUUUAAAAAAGGUUUUUUAAAAAUAUGUUUUUAUUUUAGAGAGAGAGAAGGGGAGAGAUAGAAACAUGGUUGAGAAACAGCAACUUUGCAUGGAUUAACACUCAACCACUGAGCCAUACUGGCUGGACUUUAAAUAUUUUUAAAGUAUAUAUAUAUAUUGAUUUCAGAGAGGAAGGAAGAGGGAGAGAGAGAUAGAAACAUCCAUGAUGAGAGAGAAUCAUGGAUCGGCUGAUUCCUGCAAGUCCCCUACUGGGGAUCGAGCCCACAACCCGGGCAUGUGCCCUUGACUGGAAUCGAACCUUGGACUUUUCAGUUCGCAGGCUGACACUCUACCCACUGAGCCAAACUGGCUAGGGCUAAAUAUUUUUAAAAUUGAUUUUUAGAGAGAGAGGAAGGGAGCAAGAAAUAAUGAAUGAGAGAGAAAAACAUCUAUUGACUGCCUCCUGCAUGCUCCCUGCCAGGGAUAGAGUCUUAACCCAGACAUGUGCCUUGACCGAGAAUGGAACCAGAAACCUUUCGGUGCACAGAACAAUGCCCAACCAACAAAGCCACACUGGCCAGGGCUGUGACCCACAAAUUUUGAUAUGUGGUGUUUUUAUUUUUAUUCAAUUAAAAGUAUUUUCUAAUUUCCCUUGUGAUUUCCUCUUUGACCCUGUGUUAUUUAGAAUAAUGUUGUUUAAUUUGCAAAUAUUUGGGAGAUAUUUCAGAUCUUGUUCCAUUAUUGAUUUCUAAUUAUUUUUAGUUGUGGCUGGAGAACAUACUUUUGAUGAUGUCAAUUAUUUUAACUUUGUUGAGGCUUGUUUUAUGGCCCAGAAUAUAAUCUACCUUUUUUUCCCCCCUAGUCCCAUUUAUUCCAGCUCUGCCACCUGAUCUAUCUUUUUAAAAAUAUAUAAAGGGUGUCCCAAAAUUCACGCAAGAAGUAAUUUUUUUUUAAUCUUAUUUUUUAAAAUAUAUUUUUAUUGAUUUUUUACAGAGUGGAAGGGAGAGGGAUAGAGAGUUAGAAACAUCAAUGAGAGAGAAACAUCGACCAGCUGCCUCCUGCAUACCUCCUACUGGGGAUGUGCCUGCAACCAAGGUAUAUGCCCUUGACCGGUAUCGAACCUGGGACCCUUCAGUCCACAGGCCCAUGCUCUAUCCACCGAGCCAAACUGGUUUUGGCAAGAAGUAAUUUUGAUAGAAA